rnacentral:rRNA from 1 species
AUGUGUUGUGCGCCAACAGCUCGUGAGGAAACAUUGGGAGACUGGCACCUCGUUACCGGCCGCCGCCGUUCGCCAUCUUCAAAUGUCUUCCGUCGGCCCGGUUCCAAUGCCCGGAUGGCUCCUCCGGCGUGGCUCCAGGAUCGAUGCUUUCGGUGUCUCUCCAAAGGUCAUCACGCUCACUCUUGCAGGGACCCAAUUCGGUGCUCAGGAUGCCUUCGUUUCGGCCACAAAGUGCAUUCUUGUCAUGCUCAGCACCGAUCCGAUCUGACUACAAAGCCGCGUGAUGAUGCUGCAAAGCCUAACCCAGCGCCUGCAUCGGAGGUUGACGCAACACCGGUUGACGUGCAAUUGCAACCCGUCCUAGCGUAG